rnacentral:rRNA from 1 species
AGUGAACGCUGGCGGUAGGCCUAACACAUGCAAGUCGAACGGCAGCACAGUAAGAGCUUGCUCUUACGGGUGGCGAGUGGCGGACGGGUGAGGAAUACAUCGGAAUCUACUUUUUCGUGGGGGAUAACGUAGGGAAACUUACGCUAAUACCGCAUACGACCUACGGGUGAAAGCAGGGGAUCUUCGGACCUUGCGCGAUUGAAUGAGCCGAUGUCGGAUUAGCUAGUUGGCGGGGUAAAGGCCCACCAAGGCGACGAUCCGUAGCUGGUCUGAGAGGAUGAUCAGGCACACUGGAACUGAGACACGGUCCAGACUCCUACGGGAGGCAGCAGUGGGGAAUAUUGGACAAAGGGCGCAAGCCUGAUCCAGCCAUACCGCGUGGGUGAAGAAGGCCUUCGGGUUGUAAAGCCCUUUUGUUGGGAAAGAAAAGCAGCAGGUUAAUACCCCGCUGUUCUGACGGUACCCAAAGAAUAAGCACCGGCUAACUUCGUG